UACGUAGGCAGCGAGCGUUGUUCGGAAUUACUGGGCGUAAAGGGUGCGUAGGCGGUUGUUUAAGUCUGUUGUGAAAUCCCCGGGCUCAACCUGGGAAUGGCAAUGGAUACUGGGCAGCUAGAGUGUGUCAGAGGAUGGUGGAAUUCCCGGUGUAGCGGUGAAAUGCGUAGAGAUCGGGAGGAACAUCGGUGGCGAAGGCGGUCAUCUGGGACAACACUGACGCUGAAGCACGAAAGCGUGGGGAGCAAACAGG
rnacentral:rRNA from 1 species